AUUGAACGCUGGCGGCAUGCUUUACACAUGCAAGUCGAACGGCAGCGCGGGGCAACCUGGCGGCGAGUGGCGAACGGGUGAGUAAUAUAUCGGAACGUACCCAAGAGUGGGGGAUAACGUAGCGAAAGUUACGCUAAUACCGCAUACGAUCUACGGAUGAGAGUGGGGGAUCUUCGGACCUCAUGCUCCUGGAGCGGCCGAUAUCUGAUUAGCUAGUUGGUGAGGUAAAGGCUCACCAAGGCGACGAUCAGUAGCUGGUCUGAGAGGACGACCAGCCACACUGGGACUGAGACACGGCCCAGACUCCUACGGGAGGCAGCAGUGGGGAAUUUUGGACAAUGGGCGCAAGCCUGAUCCAGCAAUGCCGCGUGAGUGAAGAAGGCCUUCGGGUUGUAAAGCUCUUUUGUCAGGGAAGAAACGGUUGGGGCUAAUAUCCCCGGCUAAUGACGGUACCUGAAGAAUAAGCACCGGCUAACUACGUGCCAGCAGCCGCAGUAA
rnacentral:rRNA from 1 species